UGGGGAAUAUUGCACAAUGGGCGCAAGCCUGAUGCAGCCAUGCCGCGUGUGUGAAGAAGGCCUUCGGGUUGUAAAGCACUUUCAGCGGGGAGGAAGGCGUUAAGGUUAAUAACCUUGGCGAUUGACGUUACCCGCAGAAGAAGCACCUGCUAACUCCGUGCCAGCAGCCGCGGUAAUACGGAGGGUGCAAGCGUUAAUCGGAAUUACUGUGCGUAAAGCGCACGCAGGCGGUCUGUCAAGUCGGAUGUGAAAUCCCCGGGCUCAACCUGGGAACUGCAUGCGAAACUGGCAGGCUAGAGUCUUGUAGAGGGGGGUAGAAUUCCAUGUGUAGCGGUGAAAUGCGUAGAGAUGUGGAGGAAUACCGGUGGCGAAGGCGGCCCCCUGGACAAAGACUGACGCUCAGGUGCGAAAGCGUGGGGAGCAAACAGG
rnacentral:rRNA from 1 species